AACGUAGGUGGCAAGCGUUAUCCGGAUUUACUGGGCGUAAAGGGUGUGCAGGCGGGCGGUCAAGUGGUGUAUGAAAUAUCCUGCUCAACCAGGAGAGGUUAUGCCAGACUGACCGUCUUGAGUGCGAGAGAGGGGCGUGGAAUUCCGGGUGUAGUGGUGAAAUGCGUAGAGAUCCGGAGGAACCCCAGAGGCGAAGGCGGCGCCCUGGCUCGCAACUGACGCUCAUACACGACAGCAUGGGGAGCGAACGGG
rnacentral:rRNA from 1 species